CUCCUUGUAAAGCUCUAUUUUCUGAUCUAAAAGAGUCUAGAUGAUCCAAAGAAAAGAGCUUGAAUCAGCUAUCCAAAUUCUUCGAUGCAAGCUAGUACUCUCGAGAAGGACAAUCCGAUCAGGACUUUGAGUGGAUGAUCUAUAGAGGUCAGAUGAUCUAUGUGGCUAUUCGAUAUCAGAAAGAGCCUCAUACCAUACCUAUUAGUAGUGAAAAU
rnacentral:lncRNA from 1 species